rfam:Pelodiscus sinensis unplaced genomic scaffold scaffold49, whole genome shotgun sequence.
CCAAAGGCUCUUUUAAGAGCCGCUUAUUUUCUCAUUGGAAGAGUUU